AUUGGACAUGGGGGCACCGNAUCUGCAAUGCCGCGUGAGUGAAGAAGGCCUUCGGGUUGUAAAGCUCUUUUGUCAGGGAAGAAACAGCAGCUCUAACACAGUCCGGGAAUGACGGUACCUGAAGAAUAAGCACCGGCUAACUACGUGCCAGCAGCCGCGGUAAUACGUAGGGUGCGAGCGUUAAUCGGAAUUACUGGGCGUAAAGCGUGCGCAGGCGGUUAUACAAGACAGGCGUGAAAUCCCCGGGCUUAACCUGGGAAUGGCGCCUGUGACUGUAUAGCUAGAGUGUGUCAGAGGGGGGUAGAAUUCCACGUGUAGCAGUGAAAUGCGUAGAUAUGUGGAGGAAUACCAAUGGCGAAGGCAGCCCCCUGGGAUAACACUGACGCUCAUGCACGAAAGCGUGGGGAGCAAACAGGAUUAGAUACCCUGGUAGUCCACGCCCUAAACGAUGCUGACUAGUUGUUCGGGAUUUACAUCCUGAGUAACGUAGCUAACGCGUGAAGUCAGCCGCCUGGGGAGUACGGUCGCAAGAUUAAAACUCACAGGAAUUGACGGGGACCCGCACAAGCGGUGGCUGAUGUGGAUCAA
rnacentral:rRNA from 1 species